rnacentral:misc_RNA from 1 species
GUAUUAGGUUUUAAAGGCUAUGAAAAAGCCUGUAACAUUACAUUCUUUGACAUGCGGUGUGUGAAUGUAAAAGGACAUAGACCGAAGACAGGCAAGGGAAAGCUGGCCCCAAAGAGCAGCAGCAGACCCUCCAACCGAGUUUGACCUCGGAGAGAUGUCUCCAAGUCUACAGAAGGUGCACAGGUGGUAUAAAGAAGUUGGCGCCAGGCGUGCACAUGCCCCGAGGGACCAGCAAACAGCCCGACCAAGUCCAUUCAAUAAUGAUCCUUCCGCAGGUUCACCUACGGAAA